CGUAGCGGAGUUAUGUCGACUGGAUAUUUGGGUUAUUGUGUGACGAAUACAACCAUCCAACUGGCAACACUGCCACCAAGCAUAAAAGCAACGCGCGUACGCCAAUAAAGCGCCGCGACGCAAGCAAGACGCCUACCAGCAGCAUUGACGACGCACAAAGAAAAAAUCUCUCACUCCUCGUACAAUCAUUGUACCGUUCAGUUCAUCGUGUACCCGAUCCACCAUCAUCCCGCAAAAGCGGUGCGGUUUUCGCCACCUCUCGAAUUUCCAGCCUAAAAGGACCGCAAGCGGUAAAGCUACUUGCACACGUCGGGUGGGUACACGCGACUGCAAGAGGAGAAAGCACCAAAUUAAGCACACACAUCGACGCCAUCAUCCAUUCCCACACGAGCCACACCGAGACCACCCAACAUGCUCCUUGAAGAAAGCCGUCCCUGAUAGAACCAAUUCAGCGAGAUUACAGGUAUCCGAUUCUGGCCGUACUGGCGCCAGUCAAAAGGAAAUAACGUCAUCAAUAAUCGUUGCACCACCUAGAGCAAAGGCCGUAUCCACGAGAAGGCUCUCAUCACGAGGUAAGCCACACAAACCACCACAUCUUGUCAGGUAUCCGGAUAACCAAAGAACGUGCUUUCAGGGCCUUCUUAUCGUAUGCGCCUCUGCAUCGACGUCCCACCGGCGAUCAUCCAUCGACAGCACGCUUGUGCGUGUGUGUGACAGCAACACAUCUCGUCGGGACCGAGCGCCAAAAGAGUAGGACUGUGUUGGGAAGUUCAGUGUGUGAUUGUGCUGUGAGUCAACCAGGUACGUCUGACUGAGGCGACAUACUACACUCGGUGUGACUGUGUACGUGCAUGUUGGUGCUUGUGAAAGUUUACGUUGCCACCCAAUGAGACACGAUCAGUGCACGGAGGAAGAUCGCAAUGAACGUGGCAUAUUAGCAAGAGAAAGACAACAGCAUAGCGGGUAGUGGUGGCGCAUUCGUGUGCGCGUCAUCGCGUCGUCGGCAGUGCAGUGCGUCGUGUAUGUGAGAGAAGUGAUGGAAUCGCCCACGGGCGUUCGAACAUUCGCUUUCCAAUAGGAAAAGCGCUCGAAUCAAGUAGCGCAUUCAGAGAAGAUAAUCAUCGUCAUCGUUCAUCACCGGGGGCCCCUGCAGCGCAUCGAUCAUCGGGCAGCAGAUUGUCGGCCGAAUGCAGUGAGCUCGAAUAGUCUUAUGGUAGGCUUAGAUUAUAAGUUCGGGUGAGAAUGCACUAUGCAACAAUAUAUGCACAUGAGUAUGUUUUGAAAGAAGAAGCUGGUGAAAGAUAGUUUUUUUCUUAUUGGCUGCCCGAGCACCUCACCAACAAAUAGUGUGCUUAGCCGGGCGUGAAUGUCAAAGGCAACAGGUCUCGGUUCACCCAAUGAGUUGAACCUUUCUGAUUUCGGCUCAGCUGAAGACGUUAUUGUUAUUAUUAUUUCUUCUUCCUUCGUUCGUUAAGAAGAAAAUAAAGAGGAUUGCAAUA